ACUGCUCCUAGAGGCAAUGAAAGUGUGGCUUCUGUGUCACAUGUGCAUUAGUAGGUGUCAGAGAGGAGGAAGGAUAUGUCUAUUCUAGUGUUCUGACCUGUGGGCAUCUGAAUGAUUAGUAGCCUAACAUU